GAUGAACGCUGGCGGCGUGCCUAAUACAUGCAAGUCGAGCGAACAGACGAGGAGCUUGCUCCUCUGACGUUAGCGGCGGACGGGUGAGUAACACGUGGAUAACCUACCUAUAAGACUGAGAUAACUUUGGGAAACCGGAGCUAAUACCGGAUAAUAUAUUGAACCGCAUGGUUCAAUAGUGAAAGACGGUUUUGCUGUCACUUAUAGAUGGAUCCGCGCCGCAUUAGCUAGUUGGUAAGGUAACGGCUUACCAAGGCGACGAUGCGUAGCCGACCUGAGAGGGUGAUCGGCCACACUGGAGCUGAGACACGGUCCAGACUCCUACGGGAGGCAGCAGUAGGGAAUCUUCCGCAAUGGGCGAAAGCCUGACGGAGCAACGCCGCGUGAGUGAUGAAGGUCUUCGGAUCGUAAAACUCUGUUAUUAGGGAAGAACAAAUGUGUAAGUAACUAUGCACGUCUUGACGGUACCUAAUCAGAAAGCCACGGCUAACUACGUG
rnacentral:rRNA from 1 species